rnacentral:piRNA from 1 species
UGGGUGGAAAGAAUUACUGAUGAGUUUUU